rnacentral:lncRNA from 1 species
CAAAAGUUCUGAAUUCUUUCUAAAUUCUCUGGACUUGAACUGUUGCUCUUGGGUCUGUCUGUCAUAUUUUUUCUGGGCCCUGAACACUUUGACCUCAAAGCGAACUUUCCGGAAAGUCCGUUCCUAGAAAAGACUGAUCUGCUUUCGUGAAAAGUCUCUUUCAUUGCGAAACGAUGACCUGCAUUUUGUUGAAAAAAGGCCUCUUGACCCCUUCCAGAUAAGUUCUUACCAAGUAUCUCUGCUGCCUUUUGGUCUUAAAGCUGUGUUAACUCAGACCUGAAAACCCUCAAGAUAAACCUGCGCUUUUCUAACAGAUGCUCAUGUUUGCAAAUGAUCGCCUUAGGCGAGCUUUUGAUAGAUUCCACCUUGGAUUGCUUUGGAAAAUGUGCAAUCAGUUUUUGUCACUGGAUGUCUUAUUUUUGUUCUUCUGAUGAAUCAGACUAAGACAAAACCUACAUGUGAAAUCCCACAACCGAAGGGAAAGAUAAAAAAGUUUGGAUAUAUCCUUUUGUUUUCUUGAUUUGACUGAGAUUAAGUUGGGGAGAGCCCAUAUCUGUGAGGCACAGCAGCCUCUGAGGCCCAGGUCCUCCAGAGAAGAUGUGAGAUUGCUGCCAUGAUCAGGCAAGGAAAAAAAAAACGAUGCAAUAAUCUUUUUUACAUCUCUUCCAGGAGUGAUAAAACGUCUCAGGGCUGUGUUCAUAAAUUUUCUCUGCAAAAAGCCAGAUGGACAGCCUUAAACACAAUGCGGAGCCCCCAUCGCCAUCGUGUUAGGAAGGUGGUGGAGACUGAACGUGUCAUUGGGAUGGAAGAAGCUCUGACGACCGGCUGGUCUCUGCAGUGCAGAUCCUUUCUGACGUCAGAAAUGCUAGAAGAGACGGUGUGGCAGCAGAAAGGCGGCGAGGCGGUUCGACGGAGGAGUUUUCGGGUUUCCAUCCAGCAGGAAUCAUGA